CGCAAUGGGCGAAAGCCUGAUGUAGCGACACCGCGUGAGCGAAGAAGCCCUUUGGGGUGUAAAGCUCUGUCAACAGGGACGAAAAAAAUGACGGUACCUGUGGAGGAAGCAUCGGCUAACUACGUGCCAGCAGCCGCGGUAAGACGUAGGAUGCGAGCGUUGUCCGGAUUUAUUGGGCGUAAAGAGUUCGUAGGCGGUUUGUUAAGUCUGAUGUUAAAGACUGGGGCUCAACCCUGGGAGUGCAUUGGAUACUGGCAGACUCGAGUGCAGUAGAGGCAAGCGGAAUUCCCAGUGUAGCGGUGAAAUGCGUAGAUAUUGGGAAGAACACCGGUGGCGCAAGCGGCUUGCUGGGCUGUAACUGACGCUGAGGAACGAAAGCUA
rnacentral:rRNA from 1 species